AUGUGUGUGAUGAUCAUUCCUUUCGUCAUUCUCACAGUCAACGUGUUAAAUUUUGUAUUUUUGCUAGCACGAGUGAACUGAUGGGAAGAAGAGAGACCAUAACAAUGCUUCAGUGCUAGUGUGUCCCUUAAAGACAACAACAGAUAAUGAACACUACGCGACUAUCACUGUAACUAUCAGCCUCCCAGACUAUCCUGUAAAAUAGUUUUAUAUUCUGUAGAAGAGAACCUGAGGAGUAAUAUUAAUUAUACUUUGUAAUAUUCUGUGAGAUACUACGAGCCUAUGUAUAUUAUGAUACGGAGAUAAUCUUAACAUAAAAAUCUUUAUAUUG